UACAGAGGUCCCGAGCGUUGUUCGGAUUCACUGGGCGUAAAGGGUGCGCAGGUGGGUUUGCAAGUUUGAUGUGAAAGCCCCGGGCUUAACCCGGGAAUGGCAUUGAAUACUGCAGAUCUGGAGGAUUGGAGGGGGGACUGGAAUUCUUGGUGUAGCAGUGAAAUGCGUAGAGAUCAGGAGGAACACCUGUGGUGUAGACAGCUUACUGGACGAUAACUGACGCUGAGGCACGAAAGCGUGGGUAGCAAACAGG
rnacentral:rRNA from 1 species